rnacentral:lncRNA from 1 species
AGGUGAGAGAUCGGAGGUGUGUGUGUGCGAGAGCAGUUAGGGUUCGGAGUCGAGGGGUCGCCGGAUGGGAGCUUGAGACGUUUGGAACCCUAAUAGGGUUUUGUAUUUUGAUAUUUUUAAAAAGUUAAAGUAAAAGUUAUUACAAGAACUAUUUAUAUCAUGACCUAAGCUUAAUGGGCCAACAUUGGUUGGGCCUGGUUAUAUCUAAAUAUUAUUUAAUCUAAAACAUUAAUCUAAUUACUUAAUCUUAAUACCCCCCUCAAGCUGGAGAGUGUAUGUCAUAGAGUCCCAGCUUGGGCAGCAGAUUUCUUAGAGCUUCAAGACUUGCCGGCUUUGUUAAUAUAUCUGCAAUUUGAGAUGUUGAUGAAACAUGCUGUAGUUUAAAUAGUCCAGCUUGUAAAUGAUCACGAAUUAGAUGACAGUCAAUCUCUAUAUGCUUUGUGCGUUCAUGAAAAACUGGGUUUGUUGCAAUGUGAAUUGCUGCCAUAUUAUCACAAUGUAGUGUUGUCUGUCUUGAUGGUUUUACCUGCAGAUCAUUCAAAAAAUAAUGCAACCACAUAAUUUCACAAACAGUUGAUGCCAUAGCCCUGUAUUCACUCUCAGCAGAUGAUCUACUGAUAGUUGUUUGUUUUUUUGAUUUCCAGGCUAUAGCAGAUCCACCUAAUAAGAUUGUGUAGCCUGUUAUUGAUCUUCUUGUGUUGGGGCAGUCUGCCCAAUCUGCAUCACAGUAGGCCUCUAGUUGUAGAGGUGCAUCUCUUCUGUAUAAGAUACCUUUCCCUGGUGCACCUUUGAUAUAUUUCAGUAUUUUGAUUGCUGAGUUAAAAUGUGAUUGUUUAGGUGCUGCCAAGAAUUGGCUAUGAUGACUAACUGAAAAAGCUAUAUCAGGCCUUGUGAUUGUCAAAUAUAACAAUUUCCCAAUUAGCUUCCUGUAAAUUGAAGGAUCCUUUAAUGGGGCAUCCUUCUCAGGGUUUUUGUAGUUGUGGGACAUUGGAAUUUUAGAUGGAGAGGAUCCCAGUUGUCCAAAAUCAUGUAGUAUAUCAAGGGCAUAUUUCCUUUGUGACAGGAAUAUACCUUGGUUUGAUUGGGAUACCUCAAUUCCUAGAAAGUAUUUGAGUUUACCCAAAUCCUUUAUAUGGAAUUGUAGAUGUAGGUAUUCCUUUAGUUUUUGAAUUUCAGCUUCAUUAUCACCUGAUAUAAUUAGAUCAUCCACAUAAAUAAGUAGACAAGUGUAUGAAUUUGUAGAUGAUUUAAAGAAUAAUGUGUAGUCAGAGUGAGAUUGGGUGUACCCAAACUUAGUCAAUGCUGAGGUGAGUUUUUCAUACCAAUUCCUGUUUGCCUGUUUCAGGCCAUAUAAAGACUUCUUUAGUUUGCAUACCCUGGUAUCACCUGAGGGUAGCAUCCCUGGAGGAGGAGACAUAAAAAUCUCUUCAGAUAAUUCACCAUGUAAGAAGGCAUUACUUACAUCCAUCUGAUAUGUAGACCAGUUUUUGGUUGAGGCUACUGCUAGCAGUGUCCUAACAGAGAUGAUCUUUGCCACUGGUGAAAAGGUUUCCUUGUAAUCAAAGCCUUCUAUUUGAGUGUGUCCUUUUGCUACAAGUCUGGCUUUUAACUUUUCAAUUUGGCCAUCAGACUUGUGUUUGACUUUAUAUACCCACCUAGAUCCUACUAUUUUCCUUUCUUUUGGCUUUGGUACUAUUUCCCAAGUGUCAUUUAAUUCAAGAGCUCCAAAUUCAUCAUUCAUGGCUUUUACCCAUUCCUGACUUUGACUUGCUUGAUUGAAGGAUGUUGGUUCAGUUGUGAUAGAAAUUUUGUCUAAAUAAUCAGUGUGAGAGGUAGACAGUCUUUUGUAUGUUAAGUAAUCAUGCAUUGGAAAAGAUGUGCCUGUAGAUUUCCCUGUGCUUGUGGCAAAUGAACAGAAAUAAUCAUUUAAUUUAGUUGGUGGUUUUCUCUGUCUGCUUGGAUAUCUUUGGUUCUGUGUUUGAUUUUUUUCUGAAUUUUGGAGUAUUGUUGGUACAUCAUUCACCUCUGUUAGAUCUGAGUGUUCAGUAUUUGAUGUUGUUGAAUUUGUGUCAGACUCAUCUGAGAUUGAGUCGAUUUGGUCUGUCUCAGAGAGAUCAGUGUCAUUCAAUUGACUUUUGCUUUGGUUUUUGUUUGAUAUUUGGUCAUUUGAUUUGUUUUCAGAUGUAUCAAUUUUCUUAUCUAAGGGAAACCUAUCUUCAUAAAAGAUCACAUCUCUACUUAUUGAGAUGUGAUGGGUGUCUAACUCAUAUAUGAUAGAACCCUUUUGGGUUGAGGAUUUCCCUAAGUAUAUGCACUUUCUUGCUCUGGGGGAGAACUUGUCUUCUUUUACAAGACAAGUUGCAUAACAUAGGCAACCAAAGGUCCUCAGACCUUCAUAGUCAGGUUGCUUGGAAUGCAUGAGCUCAUAAGGAGAUUUAUCUUCAGUCACCCUGGAUGGUAACAUAUUGAUAAUGUGGGUGGCCUGAAUUAUUGAGUAUCCCCAUAGCUCAAUUGGUAUUGAGGAUUGAAGCUUUAAGGAUCUAGCUACAUUCAAGAGGUGUUGGUGUUUCCUCUCAACCACACCAUUCUGUUGUGGUGUGUGUGGGCAACUAGAAUAAUGGAUGAUUCCAUUGGCUUUGAGGAAUUCAUCCAUUGAUGAGGAGAAGAAUUCUCCACCAUUAUCAGUCCUUAUAGCCUUAAUAGACUUACCAAAUUGAUUUUUGAUAAGGGCAUGCAAGUUUCUGAAAAUACUGAAACACUCAGACUUCACAGUAAUUAAGUAUGUCCAGGUGUACCUGGUAUAAUCAUCAACCACAGUUAAAAAGUAUUUCUUCCCAUGGAUUGUUGGAGUGUGAAAGUUCCCCCACACAUCCAUGUGAAGUAACUCAAAUGCAUGUUUAGUUCUAGAAGCAUGUAAUGGAAAUGAUUUCCUAGAUUGUUUAGAUAGAUGACAAAUAUCACAAUGUUCAACAGAAGUAAAGUUCUUAAAAUCUAAAGUAUUGUUCAAAAUGUUUUUAAGUUUGUCACUAGAGGUGUGACCCAAUCGUCUAUGCCAUGUUGUUGUAGUGAUGGCACCUGCAAAACAAUUUCUACCACUGGUUUGUGGUAGAAGAUACAGCCCUUUCUUCAUUUUACUCAGACCAACUUCCUUCAUCUGAACCUUGUCAAAUAUGAGGGCACAAGAUUUAGAGAAUUGAACUGCAUAAGUAUCAUAUUGUGUUAAUUUGCUAAUUGAUAGCAAAUUAACUUGGAAGGAUGGGGUAUAGUACACAUCCUUUAGUGUGAUAUCAGAUGAAACUUUAAUAUCACCCUUUUGAGACACUAUCUGACUGUCCCCAUUGGGCAGUGAGAUCUUAAAUGAAUCACAUUUCGUGAGUUUUAGAAACAGGGACUCAUUGCCACUCAGGUGUUCUGAUGCACCUGAGUCAACAAUCCAGUAUGUGUUAAUGGAAUUUAAAAAAACAUUAUUAGCAUUACCUGAAUCUCUGCGCUUGGGCAGGGGCCUUGGAUUGUACUUCUCUGAAUAUAAUGGAAAUCCAUAUGGUCCAAUUGGGUUGUCUGGAGAUUCAGCUUUCUUUUCAUCACUGUCCCAAGCAGACCAGGUUUGUUCAGAGUGUGCACAAUUGGCUGAGCCCUGUGCCUUGUUGACCACAGUAGGAGUAGGUGUAACAGGUUUUGGUUUUGCAACAGAGGAGGUGUUCCUAGAAGGAUACCCAUGUUGGUUGAAGCACUUCUCAUCACUGUGCCCAAAGGCAGCACAGUAGAAACAAUAGUACCUUGUAUUUACCUGUUUACCACUCCUAUAGUAUAAGGGUUCAGUAGGUGUAGGUGGUCUUUUUCUUUGUGUAGAUGAGGAAGGAGUAUCAGUUGGUUUGGUUGGUUGGUAGGGUGUUUUUCCCUUGACUGAAUAGAAGGCUGAGCCUUGGUUAUUGGUAUUGCUGGUUAAUUGCUGCUGAGCUUCCUCAUGGAUGACCAUAGAGAAUACCUUUUCAAAGUUAGGCAGCUUAUCCAUAGACAGUAUGGUUGACCUUAUUUGCCUGUAACUGUCAUUCAAGCCCAUCAGAAACUUCCUAACUUUGAGCCUUUCUUCCCUUUCAUUAAUCCUGCCAUUGACAUUGCAUGUACAAGUGAUGCAACUGCAUCUUGGAACCUCACCAUAUGCAUCUACCUCUCUCCAUAGGGUUUUGAGGGUAGCACUGAACUUGGAUACAGAAUUAGACUCCUGUUGGAGCAAAGCUAUGUCAUGAGUCAGUUGGAAUAGGUGAGUUUCAUUUGAUUGCCUAUACUGAUCUCGAAGAUCAGCCCAUAUGAUAGAAGCAUCAUCUGUGUACAUGAUCUGUGAAGCUAUCUCCUGGGAGACAGAGCUCCAUAUCCAUUGUCUUAUGAUCUCAUGACAGGUUACCCAUGCCUCAUGUUCCUCUAUAUCACCGCUUAGUGGCUCCUUAAUAGUGCCAUUCACAAAACCUAACUUUCUCCUUGUGAUCAGCAUUGUGGUCAUCUUCCUGUUCCAGGGAUAGUAGUUUUGACUGCCCUGCAAGAUGUUGAUGAUUGAAGGAGGUCCAUAGUCUGUGGACUUGAAGAAAUAUAUUGAUGUGGGGUCAAACAGAGGACCACCCAGGGGUUUCUUCUGCACAACACCCUGAACAACCUGGGAAUUCUCUGUUCCAGCCAUGAUAUGUGUUCUGUAGCAUUUCACAUGAUAGUAAAAUUGCAUUAGUUUGACUAAUCUUGAAUGAAUCAAAGAUAGUAUAUUUAGUUUAGAGUCAAAUAGAUUGACUUUGUCAGUGGGGAUAACUCCACUUUUGUUUUUGUGAUCGAGUAGCAGCGGAAGUAAUGUGUAAUUCAGUAUGAUUAUGUAGUUGUAGCUAAUAAAACAAAGAAUGUAUAAGACUAAGCAUAGCAUGAGAUAGACCUCACAUUGCACAGUCAACGAACAUACAUGUGUAGAAUGUAGGAUUACUCUAUGUAACAUACAGACUAAGUUUGAGAAAAGAAUCAUUCUAGUAUUUAAUUUAUUUAACAAUACUAAGCAGUAAUGACAAGUAUGCAUUAGUGGAUAAGUAUGAUAUGUGAUUAUGCAUUGAAGCAUGGUAUCCAUUAUCAUGACAUUGGAAAUAACAUGCAUCGAUUUAUAUGUAUAUUUGAUUAGUACAUUCCAGUACACAUGUAAUAGUAUUUUUGCAUAUAACAUCAGUGCUAAGUAGGACUGCCCCUUUGUAUAGGGUUUUGUCCCCAUUAAAGAUAGAUCAGUGAGUAUGUAAGGACAUGCAGAACAUAUAAACAUGAGUCUACAGUAUUCAGUUAAAAGAUUAUACAGUAUUACAUUUUCAUAGUAUUGAUGGCAUGUCGAGUUUAGAAAUGGUCUAAGAACAACCCUAUUAUGACAUGCAUCAAGGGAUCUUCUAGAUCCAAGUCGACUAGCAUGAACAGCAUUCAUAAUAUAUAACAUGUACUCAAAACACACAUAGACUAGCCAGGGUUUAGAUAUACCAGACUAGCCAAGAUUCAGAGAGUGUUUGGUGAGCGUUCGGCGAAGUUGAAGCAACCAGAGGAAACCUUGAAGGCUUGUAUCAGUGAAACCCUAGAAGCGACGGUAGCAGCACAGCACGCCAAGAGGCUCUGAUACCAUGAAGAAGGUGAGAGAUCGGAGGUGUGUGUGUGCGAGAGCAGUUAGGGUUCGGAGUCGAGGGGUCGCCGGAUGGGAGCUUGAGACGUUUGGAACCCUAAUAGGGUUUUGUAUUUUGAUAUUUGAAAAAGUUGAAGUAAAAGUUAUUACAAGAACUAUUUAUAUCAUGACCUAAGCUUAAUGGGCCAACAUUGGUUGGGCCUGGUUAUAUCUAAAUAUUAUUUAAUCUAAAAGCAUUAAUCUAAUUACUUAAUCUUAAUA